GACGAACGCUUGCGGCGUGCCUAAGAAAUGCAAGUCGAACGAGAGCUUCGGCUCUAGUGGCGAACGGUCGCGUAACACGUGGGCAACCUACCCUGAAGCGGGGGACAACAGUUCGAAAGGACUGCUAAUACCGCAUAUGAUCUUGUGAGGCAUCUCUAUGGAUCAAAGGAGCAAUUCACUUCAGGAUGGGCCCGCGGCCUAUCAGCUAGUUGGUGGGGUAACGGCCUACCAAGGCUUCGACGGGUAGCUGGUCUGAGAGGACGACCAGCCGGAUUGG
rnacentral:rRNA from 1 species